UCUUCUCUAGGAGGAAGAUUCACUUGCUCUCAUAGUACAAAGGCUCCACUUGCACAGUAACCUGCUCCCUCUCAACCCCACCACAGUGUUGUACUAGCCCUCUUGAAUCCGGCUGUACGUUCCAGACUUUAAUCUUUUGAGUUUGCCUAGUUAAGUCUCUGAACUUUGCCUCUCAGAAAAUAGAUGAUUCAUUUCCUUGUCUCCACGGUCAGCAGGAUGCACAGUCAAAUACUGAUUACAUUAUCUUCUGCUGUGUUAGAGGCUGCAGGAGAAAAGCUGAGGUGAGAGGCAAAAUUCAUAUUCUAGAGAGCAAUCUCACUUUUCCAAGAGGAAGAAGUGAAAGACUUAGCGGAGUCUUUCAAAGCCACCUAGGAGAUUUGUACAUCAAAUUGUCAUUCAUUUUAAAUGGGAAUGCGGUAUUCAAAUGUCCUACGUGAUGAGCCUUCCAAAGCCCCCUUUUUUAAGGAAUCUCAGUCCUGCAGAAUUGCCUUGUACUUUGUAGGCAAAACUGAUAGCUAGAAGUUUCUUAGGAAAGUUUUUAAACCUUUUGUUCUGAUCUUUUCCAAAGUGCAUCACAAAGAGUUUUUUUUUCAAGUCACAAUUAGAGCCGGUUAAAAAGCAUAUGCUUAUACAACAUCCAGAGCCUGCUCAAGGACUUCCAUGGACUUCAAUGGAUUUUGGGUUUGGAUCCUUGCCUCUUGCAGUCAAAGACUUACGAUGAGUGAGAAAUGUCCAUAUUAAGAAGGGCACAUUGAUAUCACAAGAUGGGACAGAAAAAAAAGUCAGAGAGAAGACAAGAGAUCAUCAAGAAAACCAAAACAGUUUUUGUUCAUAUUUAGAUUGUUGACUUAUAUGCAAACAUGCAUGGGGCCCAAUUCUUUUUCCUAUCCAUAAUCUGAUCCUUUCACCCCCAUGUAUCCACUUCCCUCCCUCCUGCCUCAACCACCUACCUGCUGUCUCCCUCACUAAAUUAUGGUUGGCUGUUCUCCUUUGAAAAUUAGACUUCACUGCAUCUGGUGAUGCUUUCCUCCAAUGGGCUGUGAUGCCAGGUGGUGGGACCAAAGCAGGAUAUUCCAGAUGAAAGAUCAGGGGAUGGCAGCUAGGGAAUAGCUGUCUCAAACUCAAGUCAGAUGUCAUACUGGGCAAGGAAUCUUGGAUCGCAUUAUGUGUAGUGGGGUAGGUAUUUGUGCUGCAAACACACAGGAUUCACAGAUUUAAGGCCACCACUGUAACUCUUGAUGGUAGCGACAAAAGGUUAGUUAUCUUAAGUCACCAAACAGCCAGAAUGUCUUCAUGGGCUUCAUUGUUUCAAUUAACUUCAUAAUGGACUGAUUUCUACAUCACAAAAAUCAUCACCCAAAUUGGCAAAGAGUCCAAAGGCAUGGAAACUAAACUACCUUUCAUUCCCAGAAGUUGUUUCCUUGACACAGAAGGAAGCACAUUGAUACCAGCACAUGGGGAAGCUUUCAUGCAACUGCCCCUACUGUACUGAUGAAUCAAAGAUAUCAAUCUCUGUAGCCAAUCUUAUUAAACGUGCUCACUAAUUUUAGAUACCUUGAUUUUCGGCUCCCUACUACACAAUUAGGCCUGUGUUUUAGAGGUCCUGUAGCCCAAUGUGCAACAAAGCACGCGAUGGACCAAGGUCUAAGGUAAGGUUUAGAGGUCCUGAGUAGAGCUGGCUGGAAAACAAUUCCCUUUAGCAAAAAAAAUUGAGGUUUUGAAAUUUAUUGUCAUUCUGCAUUGGAACAAAACUAAGAACUUUUGAUUUUUGGGGGUGGGGUGGGGUGACGGGGGCGUUAGGGUGAGAAGAGGAGAGAAAAGACAGAGAGGGACAUUACCCACCCCAGAAUAGCCAAUAGUUCAGUGGUUAGGGCACUCACAUGGGAUUUGGGAGGCCCCUGAUCUACCUGAUUCAGAGAAGGGACUUGAAACUGGGACUCCUCCAUCCCAUGUGACCACUGUAAACAAUCACCAGGUUACUAGCUUUUCUCAUCUCUCUCUCACUGACCAGAAAUUCCACCCUAGACCUGAGAAACCUUCCUGAUAGAAGUUUCAUUGAAACCAAUACUUUUCUUCAAAAAGUUUUGGUUUCAGUGAAUUUCAUUGACAUUUUCAAACCAAACAAAAAGUUUCAUCACAAAGAUUCUUGACCAGGUCUAGCGCUGAGUAUCUUGUAGCUACCAUUGACUUCAGUUGCAGUUGUAGGAUUCAGCAACUAUUAAAAUCAGGCCCUUGAGUGUCUCAAGUUUGACAACCAAAAACCGAGGCCUCCAAAAUGAGUGGACACUUUUGAAAAUGUUAGCCUAAGGCUGUUUAACACAUUUCACAAGCAUCCUAGUGAAGAUAAAAUAAAAAAUUCCCAAAUGAUAAAAAAUGUGCAUUGUGCUUGUGAUUUUUAUUUAUAAUUAGUUAUAGGCUCCUUUACCAGUUCUUCGUUCAGCAAAAUAACUAACGCAUAGUAUAUAUUAUACUGCUGUUUAAACUGUAUUUCUGCAGGCAGAUUUUUGGACUUGCAACAUGAAUUUACUUUGGAAACUGCUUUAAAAAUAAAAUAGCACAAACUAAUCAGGAUGUCCUGUUAUGCACCUGAGACUCAUCUGCACAAGUGUUAUUUCACACCCAAUGUUUUUUGCAAAUUUUCUUGUAGCAUUUUAUAAUAAGAAAAAUUUGAAAACAUGAUGAUUAAUAAAAUAUCACUAGUUUCACAUUGGCAUCUCUGGGCUAAUCAAAAGUGUCAGAUUUUACAUAACAGGUUGAUUCACACUUAGGAAGUGUGAGGCAACACUCUAAAUUAUCUAUAUUCAUAUGCUAUUCCAUCAUUCUUCAAAUGAUAAGACAAGGGGAAAAUUUAUAGUCAGGGAAAUUUCCUAGAUUGAAUUGGGGAAAAAAUGUGCUAAGAAUUUUUCUAUUGCACACAUUACUUGUCAUUCUAGUUACAUUCUCACCUAUAGAAUAAAAGUUAUGCCAGA